rnacentral:rRNA from 1 species
UACGAAGGGGGCUAGCGUUGCUCGGAAUGACUGGGCGUAAAGGGCGCGUAGGCGGCUUGCACCGUCAGAUGUGAAAUUCCUGGGCUUAACCUGGGGGCUGCAUUUGAUACGUGUGGGCUUGAGUGCGGAAGAGGGUCGUGGAAUUCCCAGUGUAGAGGUGAAAUUCGUAGAUAUUCGCAAGAACACCAGUGGCGAAGGCGGCUCACUGGCCCGAUACUGACGCUGAGGUGCGAAAGCGUGGGGAGCAAACAGG